UCUGGUCUUGUCGACGUACAGUCCCAGAAGGAAAGCACCAAGUAACCCAAACACCGUGAACAACGCACCAUUCAGGCCUGCAAAGAACUACAGGGGAAGAGAAAUGAGCGUCUGAGCAACUAGAAUUAGGAGGACACACAUCUAGAAUGGCAAGCAACUGGCCCAGGUGAUGACAGUCCCAAAAGCUGUCCAGAAGAAGAGUUCGGAUCCCAUAGAGACGGGAGUGGUGUAAGACCAUACGCAGAUAAAAGCAGACUGGGACAUCCUCCCUGAAUGGGCUCAGUGACCCCCUAGCCACACUGGGAGGCCAGAGCUGGCUGAAGCAGCCCAGAAAGCGAGUGAGGUGCUCCAGGCACAAAGACCCCCGUGGACAGCUGCAGCAGAGAGAGCACCUCUGUAUACUUCGGCUCUUAAAUCUGAGAAGGUCAAUAAUUCUAUCUUGAUUUUCCAAGGUUGUAGUCAUUGGUACGUAGGCACUGCAGGACAAUCUGAGACUGGCACCAAAUGGGACUGAAUUGGCAGUGUGGGGGUUUUCCCUUCUCACGGGUUUUAUUUCUGUUUUAAGAUCGCAGCGUUUCUACACUGACGGAUUUAUUAAAACACACAUUUUACCGUGUUUUAGUCUUUGGCGUGGGACCAUACUGGGUGAGAGAGUUUCACCCACCCUGCGGCCAGUGUCCGGAGGGUGGCAAAGAGGCUGACUGGGCAGCAGGAGGGUUUGAAUCUCAGGGGCUGGGAAGGAGACCAAGAGGAAAGCCAGCACAGACUUCUAUCUGCAUACUGUGGAGGGGACCCAUUUUAAGUGUCCAUUAUUCAUAUAGUUUUGAUCAGGGCCAGUCCUAGACCAAACGGUGUCCCAGGUGAGGAGCGUCUUUGGCGCCCCACCCCCCUACAUUUGUUAAACCUUUGAAUACCUCAUUUUUUAUUGCAUUUGUAGGAAUAAUUUCAUGACUUGGAUGCACGAUUUGCAUUCAUGAUUUAUCUCUGGCAUAUAAGACUGCCUGGCGAUGCCCUGUCCUUUAUAUACCCAUGAAGUAGGGUUGCCAAGCGUCCGGUUUUCAGCCAGAAUGCCCGGUGGAAAAGGGACCCUGGUGGCUCCGAUCAGCAUGU